AGAGUAAACAGAAAUACAUGUAAAGCAUAGGCCAAUAAAAAACGUCGCGCCAAAUUCCAUCGCUUCAGAGUAUUGCUCCAAAUUUGUAGUUAGAUGUUUCGACUCACCUCAUGUUGACCGUGCCACUGAUAGAGAAGUUCCUGUUGGUUAUGCUAGCAGCGAAAUGCGAAUUGCUUUUCUCGGUACGCGAGUUUUUAAAGGCCAAGCAGACUCUGCUAAUCGAACGCAAUUUACAACGGAAAGGCAUUUUACUUGCCGAUAAAAAUCCUUAUCGGCUCGAAAUAAA